AACCUGCUGGUAUAGGUUUAAGAAAAACUAUGUGCCUAAUUUUGCAGGAAACAAAAGAAGUUCUUAUGUGGCUGAAGGUGCAGAAGCUAAAAGUGGAGGCUGGUAUCUUGACAGUGGUGCAACAGAUCAUGUUACUAAUGAUCUCAACAACUUAAGCAUAAGUUCUGAAUACAAAGGUAAUCAUCGGCUUGCAGUAGGUAAUGGUUCUAAGCUUGAAAUUGUUUAUGUUGGUUAUACAUUGCUUGGCACACUUGAACCUGAUAUUCAGAAACACAUUAAACUAAACCACAUUCUCUAUGUACCUCAAAUAACUAAAAAUCUUAUCAGCAUAUCAAAACUUUUGAAUGACAACAAUAUAUGCAUUGAGUUUAACAAAACAUGUUGUGUUGUUAAGGACAAGAGAAUGUUGAUUGUUCUCAUGAAAGGUGUGGCUAAAGAUGGACUGUACAAGCUGCUGAACUUGCCUCUAAAUCACUCUCAAGUCAAGUCUAUUCUGUUGUCUUCUGUUUCAUGUUCUAGUUUGUUUUCAGUUUGUAAAAUAAAUAAACCAGAGUCUAUGAUAUCAGUUGUUUCUAAAGAACUCUGUACAAGCUGUAAAGACCAAAGAAUCAACAAAACUCUUGAUCUUUGGCACAUGAGAUUAGGUCAUCCAAAUUCUUCUGAUCUUAGAAAAACCCUGUCAGCUUGUAAUAUCUCAUUUGGAAAUAAAAUGUCUGAGUUUUCCUUUUGCAAAGCUUGUCAAUAUGGAAAAAUGCAUAGAUUAUCUUUUAAAGGUAGUGAGUCAAAAUCUUCUACUGCCCUUGAGAUCAUACACAUUGAUCUUUGG
rnacentral:lncRNA from 1 species